AACGAACGCUGGCGGCAUGCCUAACACAUGCAAGUCGAACGAAGCCUUCGGGCUUAGUGGCGCACGGGUGCGUCACGCGUGGGAAUCUGCCCUUGGGUUCGGAACAACAGUUAGAAAUGACUGCUAAUACCGGAUGAUGUCUUCGGACCAAGGAUUUAUCGCCCAAGGAUGAGCCCGCGUAGGAUUAGGUAGUUGUUGGGGUAAUGGCCAACCAAGCCGACGAACCUUAGCUGGUCCGAGAGGAUGAUCAGCCACACUGGGACCGAGACACGGCCCAGACUCCUACGGGCGGCAGCAGUGGGGAAUAUUGGACAAUGGGCGAAAGCCUGAUCCAGCAAUGCCGCGUGAGUGAUGAAGGCCUUAGGGUUGUAAAGCUCUUUUACCAGGGAUGAUAAUGACAGUACCUGGAGAAUAAGCUCCGGCUAACUCCGUGCCAGCCGCCGCGGUAAAAC
rnacentral:rRNA from 1 species